rnacentral:tRNA from 1 species
GGAGGGGUGCCGGAGAGGCUGAUCGGGGCGGUCUCGAAAACCGUUGUGGCGCUUGCGUCACCGUGGGUUCGAAUCCCACCCCCUCCG